UACGUAGGGUGCAAGCGUUGUCCGGAAUUAUUGGGCGUAAAGAGCUUGUAGGCGGUUUGUCGCGUCGUGCUGUGAAAUUUCGGGGCUCAACCCCCGGAACUUGCAGUGGGUACGGGCAGACUAGAGUGUGGUAGGGGAGACUGGAAUUCCUGGUGUAGCGGUGAAAUGCGCAGAUAUCAGGAGGAACACCGAUGGCGAAGGCAGGUCUCUGGGCCACUACUGACGCUGAGAAGCGAAAGCAUGGGGAGCGAACAGG
rnacentral:rRNA from 1 species